rnacentral:rRNA from 1 species
GAUGAACGCUGGCGGCGUGCCUAAUACAUGCAAGUCGAGCGAACGGACGAGAAGCUUGCUUCUCUGAUGUUAGCGGCGGACGGGUGAGUAACACGUGGAUAACCUACCUAUAAGACUGGGAUAACUUCGGGAAACCGGAGCUAAUACCGGAUAAUAUUUUGAACCGCAUGGUUCAAAAGUGAAAGACGGUCUUGCUGUCACUUAUAGAUGGAUCCGCGCUGCAUUAGCUAGUUGGUAAGGUAACGGCUUACCAAGGCAACGAUGCAUAGCCGACCUGAGAGGGUGAUCGGCCACACUGGAUCUGAGACACGGUCCAGACUCCUACGGGAGGCAGCAGUAGGGAAUCUUCCGCAAUGCGCGAAUGCCUGACGGAGCAACGCCGCGUGAGUGAUGAAGGUCUUCUGAUCGUAAAACUCUGUUAUUAGGGAAGAACAUAUGUGUAAGUAACUGUGCACAUCUUGACGGUACCUAAUCAGAAAGCCACGGCUAACUACGUG